rnacentral:rRNA from 1 species
ACGCACGCUGGCGGCGUGCUUCACACCUGCAAGUCGAACGGUGAAGCGCCUUCCUUUUUGGUGGGUGUGGAUGAGUGGCGAACGGGUGAGUAACACGUGAGUAACCUGCCCCCUUCUUCUGGAUAACCGCAUGAAAGUGUGGCUAAUACGGGAUAUUCUGGGUCUGUCGCAUGAUGGGUCUGGGAAAGAUAUUGUUUCGGUGGGGGAUGGGCUCGCGGCCUAUCAGCUUGUUGGUGGGGUGAUGGCCUACCAAGGCGGUGACGGGUAGCCGGCCUGAGAGGGUGGACGGUCACACUGGGACUGAGACACGGCCCAGACUCCUACGGGAGGCAGCAGUGGGGAAUAUUGCACAAUGGGCGCAAGCCUGAUGCAGCGACGCCGCGUGAGGGAUGGAGGCCUUCGGGUUGUGAACCUCUUUCGCCAGUGAAGCAGGCCUGCCUCGUUUGUGGGUGGGUUGACGGUAGCUGGAUAAGAAGCGCCGGCUAACUACG